rnacentral:rRNA from 1 species
UACGUAGGGGGCAAGCGUUGUCCGGAUUUAUUGGGCGUAAAGAGCGUGUAGGCGGCCAGAUAGGUCCGUUGUGAAAACUCGAGGCUCAACCUCGAGACGCCGAUGGAAACCAUUUGGCUAGAGUCCGGAAGAGGAGAGUGGAAUUCCUGGUGUAGCGGUGAAAUGCGCAGAUAUCAGGAAGAACACCAAUGGCGAAAGCAGCUCUCUGGGACGGUACUGACGCUGAGACGCGAAAGCGUGGGGAACGAACAGG